rnacentral:rRNA from 1 species
GAUGAGCGCUGGCGGCGUGCCUAAUACAUGCAAGUCGAGCGAACAGACGAGGAGCUUGCUCCUCUGACGUUAGCGGCGGACGGGUGAGUAACACGUGGAUAACCUACCUAUAAGACUGGGAUAACUUCGGGAAACCGGAGCUAAUACCGGAUAAUAUAUUGAACCGCAUGGUUCAAUAGUGAAAGACGGUUUUGCUGUCACUUAUAGAUGGAUCCGCGCCGCAUUAGCUAGUUGGUAAGGUAACGGCUUACCAAGGCAACGAUGCGUAGCCGACCUGAGAGGGUGAUCGGCCCCACUGGAACUGAGACACGGUCCAGACUCCUACGGGAGGCAGCAGUAGGGAAUCUUCCGCAAUGGGCGAAAGCCUGACGGAGCAACGCCGCGUGAGUGAUGAAGGUCUUCGGAUCGUAAAACUCUGUUAUUAGGGAAGAACAAAUGUGUAAGUAACUAUGCACGUCUUGACGGUACCUAAUCAGAAAGCCACGGCUAACUACGUG